CAGUCCCUCCCAUGGCAUGGCACCCACUGCCAAUCAACCCCUUACCUGGGUGGUCCAUAUGGGACACUAAUAAGUGGAUGGUGAAGUCCAGGAAGGAGCAGUUGCAUAUCCAGGGGUUCCCACUUAGGUACAGAGUCUGGAGCACCACCAGGUGGUGGAAGCCAUUAUGGUCGAUGAUGUGCAAUCCGGUGUUUCUGAGGUCCAGGUACCUCAAAGACGUGGUGUUGGCAAAGACGUAUUUGUCAAGAUACAACAGGAGAACUGAACAGAAGUUGAAACACGAGGCCCAGUGCCCUGCUGCCGGCUUGGUGGCUCUGCUACUUGCUCAGUCCGAGUGCUGUUGGAAGCUCGCCCACUUGGCAGCUCUGAAAGGUCUCACCCUUUCCCUGCCUUUGUAAGUGAAGGGGA
rnacentral:lncRNA from 1 species